rnacentral:tmRNA from 1 species
GGGGACGUUACGGAUUCGACAGGGAUGGAUCGAGCUUGAGUUGCGAGCCGAGAGGCGAUCUCGUAAACACGCACCUAAAUAUAACUGGCAAAUCUAAUAACCAGAACUUAGCACUAGCUGCCUAAUAUAGCGCAGCGAGCUCUUGCCCGCAUCGCCUAUGUGCCGGUUAAGAGCCCAUAACGAAGUAGGCUACGCUUGCGCUUCCGUCUGAGAGCGCAGGAAGAGACCCAUCAGACUAGCUCUCUGAGGGCCCGCCCGCAGGCACGAAGAUGAGCGAAUCCAAAUAUGCAGGGCUACGCUCGUAGACGCUGAAGCAAUCGACGUUUCUGGACGUGGGUUCGACUCCCACCGUCUCCACCA